rnacentral:misc_RNA from 1 species
AUGUGGAUCAUUAAAAAGAGUGAAGCAGUGGUGGCAUGGGGCUUGGUGUUGAAUACACAGGGGGAGUGAAGGAGAGAGGAGGGAGAGGCCGGAGUCGCCAUUUCUGCCACCCCUUGACUGGCUGGAAUUACCACGGCCUACUGCUGUCGUUGGACGUGAUCAUCGAUGCUAGCGGUGAGCUGUCGGACAGCGUUGCAGAGGGAAAGAUGAGAAUUUCUCUCUCCUCCGAUCCUCUCUCUAACCCGA